rnacentral:rRNA from 1 species
CUACGGGGCGCUGCAGUCGAGAAUCUUCCGCAAUGGACGAAAGUCUGACGGAGCGACGCCGCGUGCGGGAUGAAGGCCUUCGGGUUGUAAACCGCUGUCAGUGGGGAGGAAAUGCAUCAGGGUUCUCCCUGGUGUUUGACCGAUCCGCAGAGGAAGCGCAGGCUAAGUUGGUGCCAGCAGCCGCGGUACACGAACUGCGCGAACGUUAUUCGGAAUCACUGGGCUUAAAGGGUUCGUAGGCGGCCUUUCAAGUCGGGUGUGAAAUCCCUCGGCUCAACCGAGGAAUUGCGCCUGAUACUGUUGGGCUUGAGGGGGAUAGUGGUGAGCGGAACUGAUGGUGGGGCGGUGAAAUGCGUUGAUAUCAUCAGGAACACCGGUGGCGAAGGCGGCUCACUGGAUCUCUUCUGACGCUGAGGAACGAAAGCUAGGGGAGCGAACGGGAUUAGAUACCCCCGUAGUC